GAAAAAAAAAAACCACAUAGAAGGUUGUGUGUGUGUUUCUGUAGUUACUUAUGUUGUUGUUGUGUUGACGAUUAUCCAAUUCUUUGUAGUGUGGAUCUGAGAAAUCUAUCUCUCUGACGCUUCAAAGAUAGGAGAGAGAUUACAGAGAGAGAAACAUAGGAAAGAGAGAGAGAGAGUGAGAGUGUGAGUGUGUUGUGUUGUUUGUUUCAGCAUAUGUAUAGCCACCAAAACCUACGGCUACUGGUAAGGUAUGUUGUAACAGAUAUCAACACCAUUUCUUGAUACCCUUUACUCUCUUUCUAUCAUUUGUCACUUCAAAAUUUGAUUUUUUUUUUUAUCAUUUUUCUCAAGAUUUUGAUUUUUCACUAAUGGGUUCUUAUGAAGCAACCAAUGUGGUUCUUGCUAAAGUCAAAAACUUUGACCCUGAAAAUGCUUCAAAAAUCAUGGGUUUUCUUCUCAUGAACCUUGAAGAAUAUGAACUUGUUCGUUUAGCAUGUUGUCCUGACCAUGUUCUUCAUAACCUUGCUAUUAGGGUAAAGACCCAUUUGGGUAUGAACCUAUCUACCCCUUCUUCACCUUCACCUCUUAACCCUAUUGGAAGAAUCACUUCAUCUUCCAAUAACCCUUUUUCAAAAUCUUCUCCUAGAGGAAGUAAUGGGUUUGACUUCAAUAGGAACCCUUCAUCACCUUCUGGUAAUGUUUGGUCACAACCCUCUUUCCCAAAGAACCCUAUUAGUCCAAAGUUUAAUCCUUUAAUGUCUUAUGAGAAUAUCCAAGGUGGUGUUGGUGUUGUUGGUGGUGGCGGCGGCAGUGGUGCUGGUGGUUCCUGUGCUUUUUCACCAAGGGUUAAUAAUGGUGAUUAUGAUUUUGUUGAUGAACAACAGCUGAAUGAGUGUUUUCCUUUUCUCAAUGAGUCGUCUAACGGCGAUGAUUUGGUUGAUCCGCGUCUUGAAAUGGGCGUUGGUGGUCAGAAUUGGAUCUCUGGUAACAAUGGCGAUGCUCAUAAUAUUCAUAAGAGGAGUUUUUCUGCAAAUGAUGCUAGUUUUAGUGUUGAAGAAAGUGGAUUGGGAUUUGGUUUUAAGCCAUGUCUUUACUUUGCUAGAGGGUUUUGUAAAAAUGGUUCCAAUUGUAAGUUUGUUCACGGUGAUUCGAUUGAUGCGAAUUCUGGUGCUGUUGUUGGUUCACCCAAGUUUGAGGGAUUGGAACAACAUGAAGAGUUCAUGAGGUUCAAGGCUGCUCAGCAGCAUCAAAGAAUGGUGGCUGCAUCACAACUUGCUGCUGGUGGAACAUCACCGGUUUCGUAUGACAAGUACAUUGAUCUUCUGAUGCAGCAGCACAGUGAUAAUCAAAGAGCCGUGGCUGCGGCAGCAUUUGCGAUGGGUGAAGAAUAUUUCAACAUUACUGGUCGGGGCAGGCCCGAAAGGAAUGAGUUUCUUGCUAUGGUUUCUGGGGACAAGCCUAACUCGGCUUCGCGGCAGAUUUACUUGACCUUUCCUGCUGAAAGCACAUUCAAAGAUGAAGAUGUUUCGGAGUACUUCAGCAAAUUUGGACCUGUCCAAGAUGUGAGAAUUCCUUACCAGCAAAAGCGCAUGUUUGGGUUUGUAACCUUUGUCUUUCCGGAGACAGUGAGAGUCAUAUUAUCGAAAGGAAAUCCUCAUUUCAUAUGUGACUCACGUGUGCUUGUGAAACCCUACAAGGAGAAGGGAAAAGUUCCUGACAAGAGACACCAACAUCAGCAGCAGCAAUUUGAGAGGGGAGAUUUUUCACCAUGUUUAAGUCCCUCUGCGUUUGACUCUAAAGAACCUUUUGAUUUCCAUCCUGGAACAAGAAUGCUAUACAAUCCGCAUGAUAUCUUAUUGAGAAGGAAAAUAGAGGAGCAGGCUGCGGACUUUCAGCAAGUCCUUGAACUCCAAGAAAGGAGGCUGAAGAGUCUGCAGCUUCCAGAUUUCAAGAAUAAUCCGAUUCACCACCACCAGCGCAGUCUCUCUGUUGGCGCUCCUUUGGUUUUUCCCCAUCAACUUCAUAGCCAUGUGAACCAUGCAGGUCUUUCUCCUGAUAACAUUCAAGGAGAUUUUACAGGCUACAGUGGCAGCCUCACUUCUGCUGGUUCUUUAGGUGCUGCAUCUGAGCAGCAGGAGCUACACAAAGAAGCUGAUCCAUCUUGCAUUGAUGCUGUUACUGCUGCUGCUGAGAGUGGGAAUUUAAAGGAUGUUGCAAAGUCUGAAGGUGUAGAUCUCGGCAAGAGAAAUGUGGAGCACACCCUUCCUGACAGUCUCUUUGCUUCACCAACAAAAGCAGCUGGAGAUUAUCUGUCUGAUUUCUCUCCACAGGAAGAGGCUAAUGAGAGUACUGCAUUUUCAACUACCUUGUCUCAGAAGUUUGAAUCGACAACAUCUGCUUCGGGCGACAACAUGGCUUCCGUUUAAGUUCUUUACAAUUCAUGGUAAUAAAAAUAUAAGAGGCAGGCAAGGGGAGGGGGAUCAUAUUAAUUAGGAAUUGCAGAUUUAUAGAAGCAUAUAGAAGAAGAAAAAAUAUCUUCUAGAUGUAUAGCUAAAUACACCUAGAUCAUCCUAGAGAAGCAUCAAAACUAAGGUCACCAUCAUCAUCAAUCAUCAAUCAAAUACAUACUACUAACACCGACCAAGCAAUACAUAUUGCAUACAUGGAUAGGCAUAUUAGUUUAUAUUAUAUAAGACUAAAGACUAGUUUUUCUUUUCCUCCUUUCCCAUUUUAUGUUAUUCAUCAUAGCUAUGUGUUUCACUAAUCUGAGACAACAGAAUAUUGUUGUUUUACUUCAAUGUAAUAUAAACCAUCGUUAUGUACCUAUUUUCUUUUGCUUU